rnacentral:rRNA from 1 species
UACAGAGGUCUCAACCGUUGUUCGGAUUCAUUGGGCGUAAAGGGUGCGUAGGCGGUCGCGCAAGUCGGAUGUGAAAUCUCAGGGCUCAACCCUGAAACUGCAUUCGAUACUGCGUGGCUAGAGUGCUGGAGGGGAGACUGGAAUUUACGGUGUAGCAGUGAAAUGUGUAGAUAUCGUAAGGAAGACCAGUGGCGAAGGCGGGUCUCUGGACAGUUCCUGACACUGAGGCACGAAGGCCAGGGGAGCAAACGGG